AGAGUUUGAUCCUGGCUCAGGACGAACGCUGGCGGCGUGCUUAAUACAUGCAAGUCGAACGGUGAACCACUUUCGGGUGGGGAUCAGUGGCGAACGGGUGAGUAACACGUGAGCAACCUGCCCCUAGCUCUGGAAUAACCCCGGGAAACCGGGGCUAAUUCCGGAUAUUAACCUGGUUGGCAUCUUCUGGGUUGGAAAGUUUUUCGGCUGGGGAUGGGCUCGCGGCCUAUCAGCUUGUUGGUGGGGUAGUGGCCUACCAAGGCGACGACGGGUAGCCGGCCUGAGAGGGCGACCGGCCACACUGGGACUGAGACACGGCCCAGACUCCUACGGGAGGCAGCAGUGGGGAAUAUUGCGCAAUGGGCGAAAGCCUGACGCAGCGACGCCGCGUGAGGGAUGAAGGCCUUCGGGUUGUAAACCUCUUUCAGCAGGGAAGAAGCGCAAGUGACGGUACCUGCAGAAGAAGCACCGGCUAACUACGUGCCAGCAGCCGCGGUAAUACGUAGGGUGCAAGCGUUGUCCGGAAUUAUUGGGCGUAAAGAGCUCGUAGGCGGCCUGUCGCGUCGGAUGUGAAAAUCCAAGGCUCAACCUUGGACCUGCAUUCGAUACGGGCAGGCUAGAGUUCGGUAGGGGAGACUGGAAUUCCUGGUGUAGCGGUGAAAUGCGCAGAUAUCAGGAGGAACACCGGUGGCGAAGGCGGGUCUCUGGGCCGAUACUGACGCUGAGGAGCGAAAGCGUGGGGAGCGAACAGGAUUAGAUACCCUAGUAGUCC
rnacentral:rRNA from 1 species